CUUGGCAGGGCGUGGUAACACAUUCGGAGGGUAGGGUCGGUAGACGGGAGUAGUACCGUGACGCGGCUUAGAUGUGUAUCGGCGGCGGCGGAUUGGGAAGUCGUCCGCAUCCGUUGUAGUCUAGAUGGUUGGGAUAUUCGGCUCUCACCCGAGCGACCCGGGUUCGAGUCCCGGCAACGGAAGCUCCCGAGUGAUAAAAUGGACUACACAUGGUUUUUUCCUCUUUUUCAGGUCAGCACUUUGACGUCGUCGCAGUCGUCCCUGCCGAGAAUCGAAGCCAGGGAGUGUCCCCCUAUGAUGGAUAAAACAAGUCCAAUUCACUCGCAGAUGGAGAGUUUAUUUAAUCUAGUGAUUUAAUUUAAGUUGUAAUUGUUGAUGUACAUGCGAAAUUAGAUUUUCUCUAGUAUCAUUUGGAUAUUAACUAGUGGUAACACGUGGUACAGUUGUUGGAUAUUUUGAACAAUAUUUCUGGUGGACACUGUAUGGUCGUGCAUUCAACCAAGUGCAAAUUUGCCAUACAGGUAGACCAUGACACUAGUGCGAUAAGAGUGUUCGAGUGCAGGAGUAUUUCAAACAGAGCAAGUUCAAACACAAUGUAAUACGGUGAUGUUACGAUACUGGUGAUUUUCUGCUGGUAAGUCCUAUUGGCUCUUUGCAUCGACUUUUACGACUCUUACGACUGUUUGAAUGGAAUAUAGCUGCUUGGUAGGAUUGCAGUUCAAUGAUAGUGAGAAUUGGGGAUCAUACUUAAACUUUAAUCAAAGUGAUCUGCAUACAGUCCCGACAACUUGGUUGUUGAUUACUUGUUUGACAUUUCUAUCGUAUGGCUUACUUACCUCUUUUAUGUGUUUGAUGGACACAUUGCCCUUUAUAAAUAUGGGAUGCACAGUAAAUUGGUUUGUCCGUUUUGGUUUGUUAGAUUUUCUAAGUUACUAGAAUGCAUUGACUUGGCCUAAUUAGUGUAGAAUGCAAUGAUUUGGCCUAAUUAGUGUAGAAUGCAAUGAUUUGGCCUAAUUAGGCUUUGGAAUGACCUACAUAACAUAGGUUAUUUCCCUGGCUACAGAUGACAUCAAAGACGUUAGCUUAUUGCCAGCUCUUGGACCUUCAAACAUAUCAGUCUCAUAUUAUUGUUGGGAGAGCUUAAUGGCUUGCCCCUCACAGAACCAGCCUGUGCAAUUUAAACAUUGGAUCUGGAGUAGCCGUGCUGCGGACGCUGCUGCCAUUGGUGAGUUCAAUUGUUGUGAAGUCCAAAUUUUUCUUCAUUGAUUCCUUUUGUAGCUCAUUCUGAGAUUGCAGAGCGAGUUGGCAGAGCAAAGCGAAGAGCGAGAUCGCGGCAGAGCAAUUCCGAAAUGACGGCGAUAAGUUCUCGACUAGGUCUCGCCACAUUGUGUUGCGAUUCAUAACACCAAACUCCCUUCAUAUCAGUUUUCUGCAGUCGGUUUCAGAUUCAUAGUUCUUAGGACUAUUAGUCAGCCAACACUGUAGGUUACACACCAAGUAGAAACAUGGCCAAUUCACUCCCCCGAACUUGAGAUUUGGUAUCCCAAAUUGCACCAGAGUAGGGCACUGCUCUCCAGUAUGGGAGUAGUGCUCGAACAACCAAUCUACACCUCAUACACUUAGUGAUCUAAAACAGAUAAGAGCCCCUUUAUCCAAUAUGGCUCCAAAGGUAGCACCAUUGGUCAGAUACUUGUGCACUUGAAAACCUGAAGCCUUCCGGCAAAGGACAAUGCAGUACAGUCAAAGUGCAAUCUUCUCUACCGAACAACUCCAAAUCAUUGAGAUUAUCCGUAACAAAGCAAUGCAGUAGACUAUUUUUGGUCAUGUCGAAAGUAGAAGUCCUGAAGAACCCGCCCUGAAAGAACCACCUCUCUUCAUCUACCAAUGGAGACAUGAUCUCUAUUGGACAAUGGCUACUUCAAUGUCAGCUUCUCAUUACUAGACAGCUUCCAGCACACCUAUAACUCAACCUCAAGAUACACAAGGAGAUUUUUAUUACUCCAUGGACAUCUUUUUUCACUGAUGAAAACAUAGACUAGUACAGAUUCUCCUACCAAGUCUAGGUCCACUGCACAAGAGUGAUUCAACAUCUCCAUCACAAGAACUAUCUUUGGAUAAUAGCCUCCAACUUGGGAGAAGUUCCAUUUAUUGAAAAAACAUCACCUUACAUUAGUAAAACCGCAGGAUUAACUGUCAAACGCAAAGACAAUGAUGUAUCGAGAAUACCGGCUAAAAUCAGCCUCCUAAGACCGUCACCAAACUACUAUUCCUUAUCCACAUAGUAAUAGUUUUGAAACAUCCGAAUCAGUGCCUCAGGUGCAGAGCAUUUGUACAUUCCUAAACCGAAUGAAAGCCAUGCCACCACAACAAACUAAACCUAAGGGUGUGGGUAGACUUUGCAUAUAGUGAACAAAAUUUAUGAUCCUUUGUACCUAUCAAAGUCAAUGACCACCUAAACAAAAUAAAGACCCAAUCCCACCAGCAAAUAUAGAGGACCAUAGGCUCAGACCAAAGUCCUAUCCACUUGCAAUAAUAUGGGCUACAGAAGAACUUUCCAUCUCUCCAAAAUUUGCCUUCAUCACAUACAAUAGAUCCAUCAAUCACACCAAAUGACAUAGCAAAUGAACUUAUAAGAGCUAGUCUACACAACGAGUCUAUUUUAAUACAUCUUAGAUUAAAAUUGAUCAUUACAUAUGAAAAGAGUUUUUUCUUUUACAAUGUCAAAGACAUGAAUCUCAAAGAAAAGAAAACCUCCAUAUACUCUUAUAUCACUUGGAAAAAAUAGAUAUUCACUCAAAACUAAUAUAAUAUUGAAAUUAAAGUAGCUAUUGCAAAAUAAAAAUAAUUAAAAAAUCUCAAAAUAAGACUAAAGACUAGAAAGGUAUUAAUAAGAGAGAAAAAUUCUUCACUCUUGCCUCUACAUAUACUAUUUAAUAAGGAGGUAUGUGGUAAUUUUGUAUAGGACUUUCAAUAUGUAUAAAACUUGCAAGACAUAUGUCUUAAUUUGCAAGUAAUUUUUCUAUAUGUGUACUAUAUAGUAAGCUUGUACCACAAGCUAUCAACACAUGCAAUACAUUGCUAACUUGUUGGCCAAAUUUUUAACCUACCAAUCAACUACAAACAUGUAUAAAGUCAAAGCUCCAUCUAUGAAGCUUUUAAGAAGCUUUUCUAAAAAAUAUUAUCAAAUUGAUUUAUUUUUACUUAUUUAUAAUUAUUAAUAUUAUUUAAAUAAUUAUUUGAAUAAAUAUAUAUAUGUUUGGGACAUUACUCUUUUUUCUAGAGAUGAGUUCCACUAAGAGCAAUGAUCAUAUAUUAAUGAAGUCUAAGAUGUAAUGAAUUAUAUAUUCCACAUACUUUGAUCUUUAUUCUUUUUGAAGGUAGUUCAUAAGGCUUCUUAGCCAUCAAUAAUGUCUCAUUCUAGAGCAAAAAGACUUAUUUGGUAUUUGAUUGUUAUUGAAGCCUUUAUAACUUCUUUCUAACAAAACAUUUGUAACACCAUCAAGAGUCAUUUCUACUUCUAAUAAAAUCACCAAACAUUGGACGUUUCUUUCAAGGUUAUGAUAUCAAAUGUGUUGUAUCUUGCCAUUUAUUCAAGAAAGAAUAUGUUGUUGUUAAGAAUCUUCAUCUCUAUUAUGUUGUCUUGAAGGUUGUAACAAUUGCAAUGUCUCAUCUAAUAAGUUUGUAAAUAAUAGUUUUUGAAUUAAAUCUAUUGAUUUUUACUUCUUUAUUUUUUUAGUAAAAAAAAUACAAAAAAAUUAUAAGCAAGGAUAGAAAGUAGAGUGCAAUCUUCUCUAAAUUAUAUUUCUUUGAUGAUAAAGAUUUUUUAUUUUUUAUUUUAGUUUUGAUGGAUAUUAUUAAUAAAAAGCAUCAAUCUUCUUUAUUGUAAUUACAAGAUUCUUGGCGGAUUUUCCUAUGCAUUUAUUAAUAUCAUAUUUGUACUAAUGAAUAAGAUAUUUUAACCUAUUUUGAUGCUACCUUGAGUCUAGGAUGUCUUUCAUCUCAAACUCUUGAUGAUUAUCUACUUCUGUAGGAGGUCGUGGAAUUUAUCUUUUUUUUGAUAUAUUCACUAUCCUAUAUAGCUCAAAAAGAGACAUAUAGAAUAUGAUUUGGAUCCUUAGAGACUUUGAUAGAUAUAAUUAUUAAGCAAUUGGAUUAAUUUCUUCAAAAGGGUGACUAUUCUUGAUAUUAUGACAAAGUGGAAUUAAAAUUGUUUCUUAUAAUGGUAUCAUGGACAUAUACAUGUAAACUAAUAAUUACCUAUAUGGUUUAGAUAAAAAUAAAUAAAAGUAGGUUAAUUCUAGAAUAUCUUCUAUAAAAGCUUUCUAGAAGCUUGGUAGAUAUUGCUUUGACUUUAUAAGUAUCUUUAAUUGAAUUUUUAGAUUAGAAACGUGGUCAAUAAGUUGGCCAUAUGCCACACAUGUUGGUAGCUUAAAGAACAAGCUAACUAUAUGGCUCACACGUAGAAAACUUGCCUUGUAAGCUAAGGCAUGUGUCCUGCAAAGUCAACAUAUAUUAGAGGUCCUAUAGAACAUUGCCAUGUAGCUCCUAAUUAGAUAGUAUAUAUAGAGGCAAGAGUGAAGCCCUCUUCACUUUUGUCAACUCUUUUUUUGCUUUUAGUGUAGAUUUAAGAAUCUCUAGUUUUCUUGUCUUUUGGCAAUAGUCAUUCUAAUUUUUUUUUAAUAUAAAUACUACUUUAUUGCUAUUUUUUCACUUUUCUUUUAAUACAGGUUUAUGCAUCUUCUUCCAAUUCGUGUCCUUGACAAAUUGACAAGAGUACACUUACAAUAUUAGAACUUUGUCUUUUCUUGAUUAAGAGUGGAUUACUUUUUUUUUUUUAUAAGACAUAAGUAUAUUAGAAGUUAUGGAUAUAUUAGAAGUAUAUUAUCUUAUUCUAAACUAAUAUUAUUCUUAGUAUCUUCUUUUUUCUCAAGUUCCCUCUUUUGCUUGUCUUGAGCAACAUUAGAUAUUUAUUUUUUAAGUAUUAUCAUGGCAGAGCUUGUUAUAAUAAAGAGUGCAAUGGCACAAAUGCAAGAAGAAUUGAGGGAGUUAAUGCUUGCGAUGCAUCAACUCAGUUUACUUCCACAAAGAGCAACAAGAAUGGCAAGAAGUGAUGAUAUAGAUAUGAUUGGAGCUACUCCAACAUCUGCACCCAAUCAUGUUCCUUCUCCUAUGGUGGAACAUCCUUUCGGUACUAGAAAAUCAACAAUUGCCUUGCUUGAGAAGUUUGAUGGCAUUAGAUCUAAGUUUCAAGGAUUUAUCAAUCAAGUAUAAUUUGAGAUUGAACUUCAAUCCUAAAGCUAUCUAACAAUAGGAUCAUAAGUUAGAUUAAUUGAUAUAUUUCUUUCAGAUUUAACAUUAUCAUGGUUUUUAUCUUUUUUAGAACAACGAGAUCUAAUAUUGAAUAAUUUGAAGGCUUUUUUAGUAGAAUUUCGUUCUAUGUAUGGAGAACAUGAUGCAACUUGUAUUGCAACUAACAAGAUCCAUAUUUUAUGAUAAAAUAAUUAAUCUAUAAUAUUAUAUGUUUUUUAAUUUUGACAACUUGCAACUGAUAUCAAGUGGGAUGAUGUUGCACUUAUUAGCCAAUUUCUCUAUGGAUUACAAUAUGAGGUAAAGAAGUUGAUGCUCAACUUACAUGAUCCUCAAACAUUGAGUCUAGCAAUUGGUUUUGCUAUAAAAUGUGACAAUCGACUUUUCAAAUUUCAAUUUGAGAGUAGGAUAAGUGGGCUUUAAUAUUACUAUAAUUCAAUGGCAACACCAAUGCCUCUUCAAUACAUACAUUCAGAAGUAGAGGAUAUACAAAUUGAUGCAAUACGUUUCAAACCUUUUACUGAACAAAAAACGUCUUAUUGCCAUCAAGAAGGAUUGUGUUUAUAUUGUGCAAAACCUAAGCAUACUCCUCAAUAUUAUCCAAAGAAGUGACGUAAUUAUAAAAUGAGGAGUAUGAAUAUCAAAGAAGAUAAUAUAUUAGAAAACGAGUUUGUCUAGCUACAAUAGGAAUCGUGUGGCUGGAACCUUGUACAAUAUCUAAUGAAGGUCCUAUUCACUCUUUAGAAUCCUCUCUAUGUUUUACAUUAAAUAUUAUUUAAGGAUCUAAACAUUACAAAGCCUCUGCCUUGUUAGAUUCAGGAGCCUCACCGUGUUUUUUAGAUGAAGAAUUUGUUAAAAGACUCAACAUAUCUUUAAUAAGGAAAACUAAACCUGUUCACGUAGAAGUCACAGUUGGCCGCUCGUUGUCUUCUGAAGAUGUUUGUCACAAAACUCUUUCUAUACAAGUAAUAACUAAUGGUCAUAAUAGCUUUGUUGUAUUUAAUAUCAUUAGAUCCCCCUCGAAUCCAAUCAUUUUAAGUUUACAGUGGUUAGAAAAAUAUAACCCUCAAGUUGAUUGGAUUUCUUGUAUUCUCAAUUUUUUUUAAAAGUAUAAUUAAGAAUGUAGUUAAUUAAGUAGAAAAUCAUAAGUCUAGUACAAUUGAACCUACGUUUGUAGGUGCAAGAGCUUUCUUACAUGCUUCAAAAGUAGAGAGUAGAGGAUAGGGGGUAAAUUGCAUGCAAUUGGUAACUUGAUAAGAGAAAGAUGAUAGCGAUGGAACGGAAUGGGAGUUUGCAGCUGCAGGGCAGCGUCCGAAAUUGGUGCGAGACGAGAGCGUGCGAUAACUGUGAUCCGGCAUGUGAUAUCAUGCGAAGAGAAACUUGGCAGGGCGUGGUAACACAUUCGGAGGGUAGGGUCGGUAGACGGGAGUAGUACCGUGACGCGGCUUAGAUGUGUAUCGGCGGCGGCGGAUUGGGAAGUCGUCCGCAUCCGUUGUAGUCUAGAUGGUUAGGAUACUCGGCUCUCACCCGAGCGACCCGGGUUCGAGUCCCGGCAACGGAAGCUCCCGAGUGAUAAAAUGGACUACACAUGGUUUUUUCCUCUUUUUCAGGUCAGCACUUUGACGUCGUCGCAGUCCUCCC
rnacentral:lncRNA from 1 species